rnacentral:tRNA from 1 species
GCGGAUAUGGCGGAACUGGUAGACGCGCUAGAUUCAGGUUCUAGUGGCUUCACGGCCUUGCAGGUUCAAGUCCUGUUAUCCGCA